UUCAAGAACCAGUCUUCCUCAUGGCUGGUCCCUGGCUCUCAGCGGAGAGAGCGGGAGGGUCCAGCCGGGCCAGCGAAGCCUCGGGCUGCAUCUGCUGACCCCAUGGGGCCUCCAAACACUAUGCCCAGUCUGGCUUCACAGCGAUAGCCAGGCUCUGGGGCCAGGUUAGUGCAAGGCUCCUUCUGCCCCAGGAAGCCUCUUCUUCAGUGGCUGAGGCAGGCGUUGGAGAAAGAGGCUGAAACAGCUAUAGCCUCGCCACCCCUCCCAGUGAGGAGCAGACCUCUUUUGGGACUGGCCUGGGAGGAUCUCAGCACCCAGAAGCACAACUGAGGCUGGUGGUGCGCCCUGGCUCCUGGAUUUCACCAGUGGGAUUCAGCUUCUCUUGGCCACAGUGGGAACUUGCUUGGAGUCAGGAGUGGUGCUGCACUGAACCGGUCCCUUGUACCCAGACACCUUAUGUGAGGACGGUAGGGUGGCAAGCCUUUGCUCUCUCGACCUUGGAGAACUUGCACCAGGAAUCAGCCACAGAUGGGCCUGUGGAGAAAAAGAUCUCCAUCAUAAAAAUCAACAGAUACUUUCCUGAUGUUUAACAGAAGGUGUGCACAGGGCCAGUUCAAGAUUCUCUUCACACACCUGAGAG